rnacentral:snRNA from 1 species
UGGAAACGGCUCAGCCGGAGGU